CCUGAAAUCAAGCACCAAGCAAAAGACCACCAUUUUCAGCACAUUGGCCAGUGAGAAGUCCUUAUCUGACUGCAAAAAGGAACAGCAAUGGAAACCUUCCAUGUACAGCAGCAUAACUCCAGUUUGCUUUCCAAGCCCUCUGAUUGAGAAGCCAAUAGACAAAGUAAGAAUGAACGUACUUUUAUCAGACACGAUGAUUCGAGCCAGUUGGCUGUUAUUUCUUUUUGCCUUGAGCUAUUU
rnacentral:lncRNA from 1 species